rnacentral:sRNA from 1 species
GAACAUGGACGUUUUGUUCUCAUUUCGUGAUGGAGACUGCAGUAAAGGAUUCUUCCUGGUCUCUCUAUUGGUGGAAAUAGCAGCUGCUUCUGCAAUCAAAGUAAUUCCUACCGUAUUCAAGGCAAUGCAAAUGCAAGAACGGGACACUUUGCUUAAGGCGCUGUUGGAAAUAGCUUCUUCCCUGGAGAAAGCCCUUCAGGUGUUUCACCAAAUCCAUGGCAAGUGUUGUAUGCAGUGCAAUAGUCUAGGCUGACAAGUCAAAUGUUCCAGGUGUAGAAUAGUUGAAAAAAGGGAAGCAAAAAGCAACUAUCACUUAGUAUGUUUUCACUUUAGGUAUUUUAUCUUACUAAACCAUUACACUUUCUAUGUGGUAGGUUUCAUUAUCUCCAUUUUACAAGUAAAGUCAUCUAAAUUCAGAAAGACAGGAUAAAUGACUUCAGAUUCCACAGGCAGUGAAGCCAGAGUUCCAAGCUGGGUCUAUUUAACACUAAGGAACUUCCUUGCCUCCCACUAAAAACCUUAGAGAAACUUUCUACAUGGGAGGGUGGUUUUAAGUUCCGAAA